rnacentral:rRNA from 1 species
UACGGGGGGGAGCAAGCGUUGUUCGGAUUUACUGGGCGUAAAGGGCGCGUAGGCGGCCACCGCAAGUCGACUGUGAAAUCUCCGGGCUUAACUCGGAAAGGUCAGCCGAUACUGCGGGGCUAGAGUCCGGAAGAGGCGAGUGGAAUUCCUGGUGUAGCGGUGGAAUGCGCAGAUAUCAGGAGGAACACCGAUGGCGAAGGCAGCUCGCUGGGACGGUACUGACGCUGAGGCGCGAAAGCGUGGGGAGCGAACAGG